UCCACUGUUCAGUUGAUAAAGCACAAGGCUGUUAACCUUAUGGAUGUGGGUUCAAGCCCCAUGAUGGGG
rnacentral:tRNA from 1 species